rnacentral:lncRNA from 1 species
GGCAUUAGAUAUCAGAAGUCUAUACAAAUUAUUGUAAUGACUUUAGGAUAGUAGAAAGUUUGAAAAUAGCAAGAGAUUUUUGAACAUUGGAGAUGGAAGUUAUGUUCUAAUCCUGAUUUUAGAAAUUGUCAGGCCUAUUUUUAAUUCUAAUAAUGUUAUUUUAGUGAUUGUCACUAUUGUCUAAUAAUUUUGUAAUAUCAUUAUGAAUGAUGUUA